rnacentral:rRNA from 1 species
AGUGAACGCUGGCGGUAGGCCUAACACAUGCAAGUCGAACGGCAGCACAGUAAGAGCUUGCUCUUACGGGUGGCGAGUGGCGGACGGGUGAGGUAUACAUCGGAAUCUACUUUUUCGUGGGGGAUAACGUAGGAAAAUUUCCUCUAAUCCCCAAUCCAACUUCCGGGGAAAGGCAGGGGAUGUUCUACCUUGCUGGAAUGGAAUAACCCUAGUCGGGUUAGGUAGUUUGCCGGGUAAAGGCCCACCCAGGCGACGAUCCGUAGGUGGUCUGGGAGGAUGAUCAGCCACACUGGAAGUGAGACACGGUACAGACUCCUACGGGAGGCAGCAGUGGGGAAUAUUGGACGAUGGGCGAAAGCCUGAUACAGCCAUACCGCGUGGGUGAAGAAGGCCUUCGGGUUGUAAAGCCAUUUUGUUGGGAGAGAAAAGCAGCAGGUUAAUACCCCGCUGUUCUGACGGUACCCAGAGAAUAAGCACCGGCUAACUUCGUG